rnacentral:piRNA from 1 species
UAAAAAGGAAGCGGUUUUGAA